rnacentral:rRNA from 1 species
UACGUAGGGGGCUAGCGUUGUCCGGAAUCAUUGGGCGUAAAGGGCGCGUAGGCGGCGUGACAAGUCACUUGUGAAAUCUCCGGGCUUAACUCGGAACGGUCAAGUGAUACUGUCGUGCUAGAGUACAGAAGGGGCAACUGGAAUUCUCGGUGUAGCGGUGAAAUGCGUAGAUAUCGAGAGGAACACCUGCGGCGAAGGCGGCCUGCUGGGCAGUUGCUGACACUGAGGCGCGACAGCGUGGGGAGCAAACAGG